AUUCCAGCUCCAAUAGCGUAUAUUAAAGUUGUUGCGGUUAAAAAGCUCGUAGUUGGAGUUCUGCCAGGUGCCACCUGUCCGCCCCAGUGGUGAGUACGUGGUGCGCAUUUGGCCCUUUCAAGGGGAGCGUAUUUGCACUUAAUUGUGUGGUGCGGGAUCCUUGACUUUUACUUUGAGGAAAUAAGAGUGUUCCAAGCAGGCUCUCGUCGUGCAUAGCUCAGCAUGGAAUAAUAGCAUUGGACCUCGAUUCUAAGCUGUUGGUUGCCAGAAGCGAGGUAAUGAUGAAGAGGGAUAGUUGGGGGCAUUCGUAUUUAACUGUCAGAGGUGAAAUUCUUGGAUUUACGGAAGACGAACUACUGCGAAAGCAUUCACCAAGGAUGUUUUCAUCG
rnacentral:rRNA from 1 species